UACGGGGGGAGCAAGCGUUGUUCGGAUUUACUGGGCGUAAAGGGCGCGUAGGCGGCGCAACAAGUCAGCUGUGAAAUCUCCGGGCUUAACCCGGAGCGGCCAGCUGAUACUGUCGUGCUAGAGUGCGGAAGGGGCUACUGGAAUUCUCGGUGUAGCGGUGAAAUGCGUAGACAUCGAGAGGAACACCUGUGGCGAAGGCGGGUAGCUGGAACGCAACUGACGCUGAGACGCGAAAGCGUGGGGAGCAAACAGG
rnacentral:rRNA from 1 species